CAAAGAAAUUUUUAAAAAUAAUCAUUUCAUACUAUCGUCAAGUCUCUGUCGUCUAUUUUUCUGUCGUUCGCCAUAAUUUUGUUGCUAUCGUCGUCAGUAAAUACAAAAAUCAGCUGUUCUCAUUACGCAAUAGCGCGCGUCUGCUAAAUUACGCAAUUUCCGCUUAUUCGGAUAUCGGUAGUGAUAUUGGCCACCGCGAGGCACUGCUAUUAAGCCGAUAGUUGUUGGCAGUCCGAUUGCGCAGCGAUUGCGUAUUUGAAGAGAUUGGCAGCGCUACGACAGAAAAAAAAGCGUGAGAAAAGAAAAACUUUUCAGGGAGCAUCGAAAUCCGUCUGCGCAGGACAGCUUUAAGUGGAGACUACGAUAAAUUGGACUCAGGUCUUAGCUCGGCACAAUGGGAAGCAUUGCAAAUGCAAAAAUCGUGGGCUACAUCUGCCGCCUGUGCGUUCAGGCUCACAGCACCGUGAUCCACUUGUACAGCGAUAGAGCCGCCGCACUGCAACUGGUUGAGAAAAUCCAAUUCCAUUUGGACCUGGACAUUUCACCGGAUGAUAUUCGCCCCAAAGUGAUCUGCCUAGCUUGCUUUGAUCGUAUCGAGGAAACCCAUCGUCUCUGGCAGGCCGAGGGUCCUGCCAAAGAUACAGAAGGUACAGAAGAUACAAAAAAGGACGGCGACGAUUCCUCCGAUGCGGCCCCGAUGGCCCCAAACGUGUCUAAUGACUAGAGCGAUGACCAUCUGUUCGAUCUGUGCUUGCAUCUACAUCUACAAGACUACAUUUAACUUCACACUUAACCUGAAAUCGAUCUCAAUCUACUCAAUACACCAAUACUCCAGCGGAUCACUGUAAAGACGUACCAGCCUAAAGCUCAACAGCCAAUGUGAUUGUUUAUGAAACCAAUUAAUUUGUAAAGCCUUUAAAUAAUAAAAAGUGCUAAAAAAUACCUA